rnacentral:lncRNA from 1 species
UCUACAGGUGUGUGUAUGUCUUCUCUCUCAGCGUGUGUGUAUGUCUUCUCCGGGGGUGUAUGUCUCUUUCUCAGGUGUGUGUAUAUGUCUUCUCUCUCAGGGUGUGUAUGUCUUAGUCUCUCAGGUGGUGUAGGUCUUCUCUCUCAGGUGUGUGUAUGUCUUCUCUCUCCGGUGUGUGAUGUUUCUCUCCAAGGCUGUUGUGUAUGUCUUCUCUCUCAGGUGUAUGUCUUCUCUCUCAGGUGGUGUGUAUGUCUUCUCUCCCAGGUUGUGUGUAUGUCUUCUCUCUCAGGUGUGUGUGAUGUCUUCUCUCCCAGGUGUGUGUCAUGUCUUCCC